ensembl:lncRNA
GUCCCCGCCCCCGCUCUUCCUGCCUUCAGAGCCCUGGUGAGAGACCGACGGCAUUCGUUGCCCCCCGAAUGUCCCCCCACAGCCGGUCCUGAGCCCCCUGGUCUCCCCAGGCCCUUUAGUUCCGAGCGCUCCUGCCCGAGGGCGGGGGGCCGCGGCCUGCAGGAAACGGGGUGCCCUGUGUGGUUGGAAGCGCUCGGGGGAUCCCGUUUUCCCUCCGUGUUCUCUGGGCCACCCCCGGGCCCAGGCCGUAUCCGGAUCUGCCCCAGAGGAAACGGGGGGGCCGAGUGCGGGCUUUUCAGAAAUAUCCCGGCGGGAGGAGGGCCGCGCGUGGGAGGCCCCCGCCCUGGGCGACCCCGUUUCCGGGGGGCCCCUCCAUCGGGCCGCUGGUCAGACCCGCCCGGCUGCCCACGGGCUUCCCUUGGGCCCAGAGGCAGGAUAUCCUGGAAAGCCGAAUGUCCAGCUUGGCCGGUGGCGGCAGGAAGUCGGGACUUCAGGAAGAGGUUCUGAGAAAAGCUGCCCUGGGCCAGCCCCGCCUGUUUUCACCUCUGUGAAAUGGGUCCCGCCUGAGGAGCUCCACAGAAACCGCUGGGGGGGCACUGCAGGGCUUCCCUCUAGUCCAAGGGGGGCCCCGAACCCCUGCAGCGCUUCUUGGGAGGCCGGGCAGUGGGGCCAUCUGGCUGGUCUCAUUUCAAGAGGAAGAGACUGAGGUCUAGGCUGGCCACAGCUCAUCCAAGGGCCCAGCACACACCGGCAGGCCGGCUCCUUUCCUGGGGUUCCCCAAGGACUCGGGGGGCUCCAAGAGGAGCAGGAAAAGGCCGGCCACCUCUGGCGGGAGGGGAGGGAGGGGACGCCCCCUCUGCCCAGUCCUCCUGCUGUCUGCCAAGGCCCGCCCAGGCCCAUAGCUCAGUGCCAGCCCACCCUGGGCCCCAGGGAGAAGCAGGACCCUGCCCUGAAGCCGCCCAUGCCCCCCCCAGUGUUCAUCUGCAGCUUCAUGGUGGCGGCCCCCAUCUUCGGCUACCUGGGCGACCGCUUCAACAGGAAGGUCAUCCUGAGCUGCGGCAUCUUCUUCUGGUCGGCCAUCACCUUCUCCAGCUCCUUCAUCACCCAGCAGGUGAGGCCUCUCCCGUGCCUGGGCACCUCCCUCGUGCCAACCCUCCCAUGCCCGGGCACCGCCCUCGUGCCAACCCUCUAGGCUGCGAGCAAGCUGGACCCAACCCCUGUGAAGGGGCUGCUGAGGGAGGCGGGAAGGUGGGGCCUGGCCUGAGGGGGGUCCCCGGGAGACCAUGGACAGGAGGGAGCGGCCAAAGGGCUGUGCUGAGGGGCCGGCGC